rnacentral:lncRNA from 1 species
CUCCACCUCUGUGGAGACUGACCCCUUCUUUGCAUAUUUGAAGGUAAUUCUCAUGCCUCCUUCAUAUUCUGUUCCUUUAGAAUUGGCUGCUUUCCCAUGGAGAGUUCUUGAAACUGUGAGAUAUUGUAUUAGAAAAAAAGCAGAGGGUGAGUAGGAGCUUACUCUAAACUCAUAAUAAAGAUCCCUGCUGCUCCAGAAGCAGUCUAGGAAGGAAGUGUGAUUCAUGAUGACCCUGCUUCUUCUUGAGCUUCCAGCUGUUCUCCCCACACCCUCAUGUACUUUCAGUUUGCAGCUUUACUCCAAGACUCUUUCUGCCUUCACAUGCUGCUUCCAGGCAUCUUGAACCUUCUGCCCUGUACUAAUAAAGGAAAAGGAGCCUAUUAUCCCAGACGCCCUGGAAACAGGGAAAUGGCUUGGCAUGCUCUGCCAGCAGCACGCUAGCAAAAGCCAUGGAGAGAGAGGCAGCUUCUAAAAAUGGCUGAACUUCCUCAUCCCAGCAUUAACACUAGAAACUGUGGAAAACACCUGGAGACCAUGUCCCACUUGGUGGAAAUGAAGUGAUUACAGAACAGAUAGAAGGUUUGGACACCUUCAAUCUGUGGAACAGUCUGGAAUUUAGAAGAAAGGGUAAAAAAACCCAAACUAAAACCCAAAGGAAAAAUACGCAGAAGCUUAAACUUUGAAAGUUAGCAAGUAAUCCUUACAAUACCCA